GAUGAACGCUGGCGGCGUGCCUAAUACAUGCAAGUCGAGCGAACGGACGAGAAGCUUGCUUCUCUGAUGUUAGCGGCGGACGGGUGAGUAACACGUGGAUAACCUACCUAUAAGACUGGGAUAACUUCGGGAAACCGGAGCUAAUACCGGAUAAUAUGUUGAACCGCAUGGUUCAAAAGUGAAAGACGGUUUUGCUGUCACUUAUAGAUGGAUCCGCGCUGCAUUAGCUAGUUGGUAAGGUAACGGCUUACCAAGGCAACGAUGCAUAGCCGACCUGAGAGGGUGAUCGGCCACACUGGAACUGAGACACGGUCCAGACUCCUACGGGAGGCAGCAGUAGGGAAUCUUCCGCAAUGGGCGAAAGCCUGACGGAGCAACGCCGCGUGAGUGAUGAAGGUCUUCGGAUCGUAAAACUCUGUUAUUAGGGAAGAACAUAUGUGUAAGUAACUGUGCACGUCUUGACGGUACCUAAUCAGAAAGCCACGGCUAACUACGUG
rnacentral:rRNA from 1 species